CACGUAGGGGGCGAGCGUUGUCCGGAUUUAUUGGGCGUAAAGAGCUCGUAGGCGGUUCCGUCAGUCGGGUGUGAAACUCGAGGCUCAACCUCGAGACGUCGGCGGAAACCAUCUGGCUAGAGUCCGGAAGAGGCGAGUGGAAUUCCUGGUGUAGCGGUGGAAUGCGCAGAUAUCAGGAGGAACACCAAUGGCGAAGGCAGCUCGCUGGGACGGUACUGACGCUGAGGUGCGAAAGCGUGGGGAGCGAACAGG
rnacentral:rRNA from 1 species